ACAACCACAACCACGAUUGCGGUUACAAUUAUAACUGCGAUCACUUACCCACUGUCUAGAGGUAUCUCACUAGUCCAUCCACCUGUUGCUGGCUAACUUCCACCAACUUCGUCGGGUUCCCCUCUCGCCUAUUUGUUCCUGCUACUGCUUGCCAGUCACUCAGCAGCGAUCUGAGAGGAGGGGUCAAACAUCCGCGGCGAAUGGGAGAACUAGUGCUCAGUUACUGCACAAUUACGGGCGAACCGGGUGGUGAAUGAGGGCCGAUGGAGGCUACCAGAGUACAUUGUUUAAGGUCGCUAUCAAAACAAUGUCCCCAAUUUGGCCGUUCUACUCAAGAAUCUCGCCGGCUUCUAUCCUUUCUCCACGGCCAUGAGUCUAGCAAACCGUUGGCCCGGUCGACACAGUCCUCGACUCCAAAUCGUCAUCCAAAUAAUCCCGACAACAGAUUGAGUGCCUCUAGCAAGGACACCGACAAACACUUGAGCUCUAUCCUAGACCACCCGCUUUUCCGAAUAGUCCCUGCUAAGCCAUUACCUCAGAGAGAUCAUAAUGGUAAUCAGGCUCAAAAUGUACCCAAUGCUGGAAAGAAAUUAGCGAAGGAUCCUUUACAACUGCUGGACGAAUUAAUAGCAUCCGGACGAGCUGAUCAUAAUACCCUUUACCGUUGUCUACGAGAGUAUGGGCCCCCUUCGAUCCCUUCGAAACUACCUAAUGUCGAAGCUUCUAGCGUGGGAUCGAGAAUCGUUGCAUGGUACUCCGCCGCGGAUUUUGAAUCAAGAAUGCUUUUUUUCGGUAGCCGCCCUACUAUGGGCAUAGCCAUGCCAUAUAUGGUCGUUGAUCGACUUCAAAACACGGUUAUCAAAUGGGUGAAGAUGGUGUAUACGGCGCCUUCGAGUGACGGCCUUGCGAAUUCCCUCCUACCCACACAACGCCUCUGCCUAAUAAACCUUUUACGUGAGUUUGUCACCGCUGAGAUAAAGUAUGGCCAUGGCAUUCAGUCCGCUUUGAGGUACUAUAUCCGUGUCUGCGAAAUAUUACCUCCAGGUGAUAAAUUCAGUGGUUCGAAACAUGAUCCUUUCCGUGCGUCAUUAC
rnacentral:sRNA from 1 species